UUUUUUGAAUGAAUUUUUCUUUCCACAGCAAAAAAAGUACUUUAAUUGUCAUUGGGAGAAGAACAAAGGGCUUCAUAAUUACAAUAGAAUAAAUAUGAUAACUCAUUGUCAAAUUUUUACAGCAGUAUGUUGCCAGUUCCCUGCACCAUCUGCCCCAAAUCAGCAGACAACAAGAAACAGCAGGGCAGACGUUAUUAUGUCACACAGCAACAUGAAUCGUUUAACCACACACCAGCUCACAAGUCGCAACAUCACACAUUGAAAAGGCUUCACAACUUUGUACAUCUAUCACAUGGAACCACGUAGCAUAAAUUACUGAGUCUCAAACAAAAUCAAAGCGCAUGAGGAGUUUUACAGAUUUGUACUGUUCUCCCUUGUGAUCAUGGAGAGGAACUGCUCGAAUCCCCCUCCUUAACUCAGACACAGGGAGGCAUGUUUGACCUCCAAAGUCAUCCUUUUCGGACAAAUCAUACUCAUGAACCUCAAUUCUAAGCAAAGCCAACUCUGGAACGGUUAAUGGGAACUCAAAUUCCUCAUUCCACACAGGAAUCCAAUUGUCCUCCAAUGUCUUUGUCUUCUUCAUUAUAAUAUCUGCAGGGACACCAGCAAUUCCUACCCUUG
rnacentral:misc_RNA from 1 species